rnacentral:rRNA from 1 species
UACGGAGGGGGCAAGCGUUAUUCGGAAUUAUUGGGCGUAAAGGGCGCGUAGGCGGCUAGAUGUGUCAAAGGUGAAAUCCCUCGGCUCAACUGAGGAACUGCCUUUGAAACUGUCUGGCUUGAGGCCGGGAGAGGGUAGCGGAAUUCCCAGUGUAGCGGUGAAAUGCGUAGAUAUUGGGAGGAACACCAGUGGCGAAGGCGGGUCUCUGGGCAGUAACUGACGCUGAGGAGCGAAAGCGUGGGGAGCGAACAGG